rnacentral:misc_RNA from 1 species
GGGUUAAAAAACUCUACAAAUAGGGCUAGGUUUCUCUUAUUCAUUAGUUUUGAUUAUGAUCAUUAUUGAAAAUAAGUAAAAUUUAUUUGAGAAUUAAUUUCUCUCAUUUCUUUGUUCUUGUUCUACAUCAGAAAGUGGCCAAAAAAUAAGCCAAAAAACUAAAAAAGAGGGAGAGAGGAUAAAGGAGAGAGACGUUCGACCAAUUUUGGUCAAUUGGAUAUUGUCAAUGAACCACUCAACCUUAAAAACUUAAGCUUUUAAGCGAGGACUUAAAGAAUAAUUUUGUAAAUUUAACACACCUUUUGCACGCGAAUGCUCACUAGGCUUAAAGAUGAAUAAGAGCAGAUCUACCUUGACCCUACCUUGUGCAGAAAUAAGGUAGUCAGGAUUUGAAUUUUAGACUUUUUGGUUUGAGAGGCUUGGAUACCAUAUCAAUAAACUACAAAAUGUAAAAGCUUAAGCUUUUAAGCGUGGAUAAACCUGCCUAAAAGGAGUGAACGAGUCAUGACCCCGG